UACGGGGGGGGCAAGCGUUGUUCGGAAUUACUGGGCGUAAAGGGCUCGUAGGUGGCCAACUAAGUCAGACGUGAAAUCCCCAGGCUUAACCGGGGAACUGCGUCUGAUACUGGAUGGCUUGAAUCCGGGAGAGGGAUGCGGAAUUCCAGGUGUAGCGGUGAAAUGCGUAGAUAUCUGGAGGAACACCGGUGGCGAAGGCGGCAUCCUGGACCGGCAUUGACGCUGAGGAGCGAAAGCCAGGGGAGCAAACGGG
rnacentral:rRNA from 1 species